GUGCUCUUUGUUCCCUGCACAAAGGAGCUCUCAGAGAACUUCCGAGAGGCCCCGCUUCCUGGCUGAUUUGAUUUUUUUUUUUUUUUUACAGAGUUGGAGUGUGAAAGCCAGGCUGAACCUGCCUAAUUGUGCCUGUGAAGGCUAUUCAGAGAGACCGUUCUUGGAAGGAAAUCAGGACGAUUAGCUCUUGGCUGCAGCGAGAGGGGAAGCGAGCUAAUCAUGGUGAAUGACAGCCUGUUCCCAGGAGAACCAAAGGGCACAGAACUGGGAGAAAAGACAGCAAGAAAAAAGUGGGGCGUCUGCUGGGCCUGCCUUUGGGGGGUGGCUGGGUUCAGCCAUCAGGUGGGAGCAGAGCCCGGGCUGGACCAGGGAGGGCUUUGCUCACUCAGACUGCAGGGGUGGGUGGUGUGACCGUGGGCCAGUCGCUGAGGGUUUCAGUGGAGUCUCGGUUUCCCUGAGUCUGCAGAAUGAGGGCUGUGCCAAAGGACCGGAUGGAACCAUCCAUCACGGAAACGACAGGAAAUUUUGGAGCCGCCAUACGCGUUUCCCACUGAGCACCUUUGUGGAAUCCUGAGCGAUGAAGUUUCCAGAGGGUGGCAUGGCUGAGAGCAACGGUGGCCCCUGAGGACACGUGGCCAGGUAGCUGAUGUCCCCAGGGCCCCGUUCCACGCGGGGAGGAGGCUGGGCGAAGCUAACUGGGCUGCCAGCACCACAGAGGGGACCCACUGUUCCUGACCCCAGCCGCUCCUUUUGGACACGAGAGAUAAGGAGUGUAACGCCUACAUGAUAUAAAAUGGUUUGAAACAAGGUCUGUAAACAGCAUCAUGCCAACAGGCACUCAGGGUUAUGUGACUAGCAUCCUCUCCUGGGUGACCCGUGGUAGGAGUGGAGGCAAACCACAACAGAUGAAGGAGGUGAAGAGGUCAGGGAGGAUGCUCCCCCUGAAGAGACGGGAAAGGACACGCGGCUGAUUAGACUUGGGGUUCGGCUGGGUCGCUGUUCACCCUGUUCAUUGCGGGUGUGUGUCGUGUGCCCUGUGGCUCCCUGGGGCUUCUUUUUGCUGACUUCUCUCUGCUCACUUUGCUGAGUUCGAGUACAGCGGCCCUCCCACAGCCCACGGUGUCUGAAGGUGGAAAGGGCGGUGGGAGGCAAGGAGGGAGUUUGCCGGUGGGCUUGCUGGCCCAGCGGUCCUUCUACCCGUGGGGCCGAGUAGGAGGGUGCCCUGUGGCAGCUCCCUGCCAGGGAAUCUCUGUCCGUCGGCCUCCCCCGGCCCUCUCCGCUGCCUACCUGCCAGGAACACACAAUUCCAUCCUAAUGCCUUUUCAAUAAAGCCUUAAAGAUGACAGACCCCAUUUCCUGAGUAGAGCAGAGAGCAGUUAUUUUACACUUCAUCUAAUUGAUUAGAAUGACUCCUGUAAAUUAACUAGGCCUUGCAGAGCCAAGGGUGGGGUAGAGAGCCAGGCAGACAGAGUGGCUUGCCCAGGGGGUG
rnacentral:lncRNA from 1 species